CAGCAGUCGCCACGGUAAUACGUAGGUGGCAAGCGUUGUCCGGAAUUAUUGGGCGUAAAGCGUGCGCAGGCGGUUGUGUAAGACAGGUGUGAAAUCCCCGGGCUUAACCUGGGAACUGCGCUUGUGACUGCACAGCUAGAGUAUGGCAGAGGGGGGUGGAAUUCCACGUGUAGCGGUGAAAUGCGUAGAGAUGUGGAGGAACACCGAUGGCGAAGGCAGCCCCCUGGGCCAAUACUGACGCUCAUGCACGAAAGCGUGGGGAGCAAACAGGAUUAGAUACCCCCGUAGUCCCUGUCUCUUAUAC
rnacentral:rRNA from 1 species